rnacentral:rRNA from 1 species
UACGGAGGGUGCAAGCGUUGUCCGGAAUCACUGGGCGUAAAGGGCGCGUAGGCGGCUCAUGAAGGCUGUGGUGAAAGUCCGGGGCUCAACCUCGGAUCGGCCGUGGCGACUCGUGGGCUGGAGCACUGUAGAGGCGGGUGGAAUUCCGGGUGUAGCGGUGGAAUGCGUAGAGAUCCGGAAGAACACCGGUGGCGAAGGCGGCCCGCUGGGCAACUGCUGACACUGAUGCGCGACAGCGUGGGGAGCAAACAGG